UUUGGUACAGUUUUCCAAGAAAGGUUUUUAUGGUAGUCUGAAAUACCAAGCCAAGUUAAAGGAGAGAGGAAGUGAUCGCUUAAGUAAACUGACAAGCAGAGAUAACUAAACACAUCCAAAAAAGAAUCUGAUGUCAGCUCAUUUUAAGACUCUCUGGACACUUGGAUAUGCUCGCCUUUCUAGAUCCUGUGAGGAACUUCUUGCCUGCUGACCAGCUAUUCCCAUGUGGAAAAUGUGAGUUUCCCGUAGGACUAGCAGAGAGAUAAACAUCCAGAAAUACUGCCUCUGAGUUCCCACAAGCCAGUCCUAAGCACUCUACCCCUCCUCCUCUCUGUUCCCUGUCAUCCUUUCUGUCUUUCACCCCCUGCUUGCUUUCUUUCUUUCUCUCUCUCUCUUCCUGUAUCUCUCUCUCUGUGUCUCUCCAUCAAGCUUUCCCAAGUGGAUUCUUAGUUAACAUAAACAAAUAAGACUAACUGAUCGUUACAACUUUUCCCUGGUUUCAACUUGCAAGUUUUGUUCCUCCAUGCUCAUUCACAUCAACAUGCAAUUUUGUGUCCCACUUAAUGGGAGUUAUUAUGAACCUUUAGAAGCAUGUCAAAGUGUUAUAAGAGAUAAAAUAAAAAAAACCUUUAUUAUCUGGGGUGACAUAGGGGUCUAAGAUGCGUACCAUGUAACCACAAUUGAACACUUAUAAGGAUAGAGGCAAAUG